rnacentral:rRNA from 1 species
AUGGAAGAGAGGCUGGUCAUCCACUCCAAGGGUGAGGUACUCGAUGUUCCUCGUCCCGCCCCGGUUGGUGUAGAAAAUGUCCGGGUCGGUGGCGCCGACGUCGCGCACCCACUGUGGGAUGGGGAUGUUGACGAUGUCUACGACGUUGCCACCGCACUGGUGGAACGACAUGAUGGCCUGCAGCUUGAGCCCGGCCUCGUGCACCAGGUCGAAGACCUGCUUGUAGGCGCUCCAGUCGUACGCCUUGGGGCCCUUGCCCUCCACCAGCCCCCACCAGACGUCUAUCAUGACGCCGUCCACGCCGGCCUCCGUCAGCUUCUUCAGCUGCGCCCUGGUCUCAUCGCCCUUCUCGAACUUGUUGUCGACGCUCACGACGUCCAGCUAUUCUCACAGUGGAAGUGA